CACAGCGGCAGCCACUGGAUUCAUCAUCUUUCUCUUGUCAGCAUUAGGUGGAAGAUUUGUCACCUCAUCAGAAGUCUUUCAGCCACCCUCAGAUGCUCCAAAGCUUCUCUCUGUGUCAGUGAGUCCCUCUGGUGAGAUAGUGGAGGGCAGUUCAGUGACUCUGACCUGUAGCAGUGAUGCUAACCCAGCAGCUAAUUACACCUGGUACAAGGAGAACCUAAAACUGCUUCAAGGACCAGAAGGAGUUUAUCAUUUCUCCUCCAUCAGCUCUGAGGACAGAGGGAACUACUACUGCAAGUCUGAGAAUAAACAUGGACAGAUCAACUCUGCGUCUCUAUUCUUAGAUGUCCAGUAUGCUCCAAAGCUUCUCUCUGUGUCAGUGAGUCCCUCUGGUGAGAUAGUGGAGGGCAGUUCAGUGACUCUGACCUGUAGCAGUGAUGCUAACCCAGCAGCUAAUUACACCUGGUACAAGGAGA